UAUUGCACAAUGGGGGGAACCCUGAUGCAGCGACGCCGCGUGGGUGAAGAAGCGCCUCGGCGCGUAAAGCCCUGUCAGCAGGGAAGAAAAUGACGGUACCUGAAGAAGAAGCCCCGGCUAACUACGUGCCAGCAGCCGCGGUAAAACGUAGGGGGCAAGCGUUCUCCGGAGUUACUGGGUGUAAAGGGGGCGCCGCCGGCGAUGCAAGCCAGGAGUGAAAGCCCGGGGCCCAACCCCGGGACUGCUCUUGGAACUGCGUGGCUGGAGUGCAGGAGGGGCAGGCGGAAUUCCUGGUGUAGCGGUGAAAUGCGUAGAUAUCAGUAGGAACACCGGUGGCGAAGGCGGCCUGCUGGACUGCAACUGACGUUGAGGCCCGAAAGCGUGGGGAGCAAACAGG
rnacentral:rRNA from 1 species